UGAUACGUCCCCUAUCUGGGGACCAUAUAUUAAAUUGAUUUUUGGAAUAGGGAGAUGGAAUAGGGGCUUGCUCCGUCCACUCCACGCAUCGACCUGGUAUUGCAGUACCUCCAGGAACGGUGCACCCCCU
rnacentral:snRNA from 13 species